GACGAACGCUGGCGGCGUGCUUAACACAUGCAAGUCGAACGAAGAGCGACGGAAGCUUGCUUCUAUCAAUCUUAGUGGCGAACGGGUGAGUCACGCGUAAUCAACCUGCCCUUCAGAGGGGGACAACAGUUGGAAACGACUGCUAAUACCGCAUACGAUCUAAUCUCGGCAUCGAGGAUGGAUGAAAGGUGGCCUCUACAUGUAAGCUAUCACUGAAGGAGGGGAUUGCGUCUGAUUAGCUAGUUGGAGGGGUAACGGCCCACCAAGGCGAUGAUCAGUAGCCGGUCUGGGAGGAUGAACGGCCACAUUGGGACUGAGACACGGCCCAGACUCCUACGGGAGGCAGCAGUGGGGAAUCUUCCGCAAUGGACGAAAGUCUGACGGAGCAACGCCGCGUGAGUGAUGACGGCCUUCGGGUUGUAAAGCUCUGUUAAUCGGGACGAAAGGCCUUCUUGCGAAUAGUGAGAAGGAUUGACGGUACCGGAAUAGAAAGCCACGGCUAACUACGUG
rnacentral:rRNA from 1 species